AAAGUCGUAACAAGGUCUCCGUUGGUGAACCAGCGGAGGGAUCAUUACAGAUUUUUAAAUCUCCAACCUUUGUGAACAUACCUUUUGUUGCUUCGGCGAGCCAUCUCCCUCUCCGGGAGGUGUCGCCGGAGGACCUUAACCUCUGUAUUUACAUGUGAAUAUCUGAGUGGCUUAAUGCAAAAACGAAUCAAAACUUUCAACAACGGAUCUCUUGGUUCUG
rnacentral:misc_RNA from 1 species